UACGGGGGGGGGCAAGCGUUGUUCGGAAUUUACUGGGCGUAAAGGGCUCGUAGGCGGCCAACUAAGUCAGACGUGAAAUCCCUCGGCUUAACCGGGGAACUGCGUCUGAUACUGGAUGGCUUGAAUCCGGGAGAGGGAUGCGGAAUUCCAGGUGUAGCGGUGAAAUGCGUAGAUAUCUGGAGGAACACCGGUGGCGAAGGCGGCAUCCUGGACCGGCAUUGACGCUGAGGAGCGAAAGCCAGGGGAGCAAACGGGG
rnacentral:rRNA from 1 species